UACGUAGGGUGCGAGCGUUGUCCGGAAUUAUUGGGCGUAAAGGGCUCGUAGGCGGUUUGUCGCGUCGGGAGUGAAAACCUCGGGCUUAACUCGGGGCUUGCUUUCGAUACGGGCAGACUGGAGGUAUGCAGGGGAGAACGGAAUUCCUGGUGUAGCGGUGGAAAUGCGCAGAUAUCAGGAGGAACACCGGUGGCGAAGGCGGGUCUCUGGGCCGAUACUGACGCUGAGGAGCGAAAGCGUGGGGAGCGAACAGG
rnacentral:rRNA from 1 species